AAAUCUGGCGUCUUUGGCGUCCGAGUUGUAAUUUGAAGAAGGUAUCUUUGCCUCCGGUUAUUGAUCUAUCAUUCCUUGGAACAGGACGUCACAGAGGGUGAGAAUCCCGUGCGAUGAGAUGACCCGGGUCUGUGUAAAGUUCCUUCGACGAGUCGAGUUGUUUGGGAAUGCAGCUCUAAGUGGGUGGUAAAUUCCAUCUAAAGCUAAAUAUUGGCGAGAGACCGAUAGCGAACAAGUACAGUGAUGGAAAGAUGAAAAGAACUUUGAAAAGAGAGUGAAAAAGUACGUGAAAUUGUUGAAAGGGAAGGGCUUGAGAUCAGACUUGGUAUUUUGCAUGCUGCUCUCUCGGGGGCGGCCGCUGCGGUUUACCGGGCCAGCAUCGGUUUGGAGCGGCAGGAUAAUGGCGGAGGAAUGUGGCACGGCUUCUGCUGUGUGUUAUAGCCUCUGACGAUACUGCCAGCCUAGACCGAGGACUGCGGUUUUUACCUAGGAUGUUGGCAUAAUGAUCUUAAGUCGCCCGUCUUGAAACACGGAACC
rnacentral:rRNA from 1 species